rnacentral:tRNA from 1 species
GCCCCGGUAGCUCAGUCCGGUAGAGCGGCGGCCUCGUAAGCCGCAGGGCGCGAGUUCAAAUCUCGCCCGGGGCU